CUUCAACGAGCCCAGAUACAGCGGCUGUUCACGGUCCUGACCGUAGGUGGAGAGCAGCGCGUGCGCCUC
rnacentral:antisense_RNA from 1 species